GGGCGGUUAGCUCAGCUGGUUCAGAGCACCUGCCUUACAAGCAGGGGGUCACUGGUUCGAAUCCAGUACCGCCCACAA
rnacentral:tRNA from 1 species